GGGGGCGACACGGCUUCGACGGGUUUGGUGAAUGCGAGGCUGCGUGCCGAGGUCCGGGGACCUCGCAAAACUUCCCGGAAAACGAUACAAACGCCAACGACAACUUGGCUCUGGCCGCCUGACCAACAGGCGAACAGAUUCCCGGACCGCCCGCCGGAGGCGGACAGGAGAGGCGUCGAGGAUUCGGGCUGGCUAGCCGGUUCGCGCCGCCGGACCGGCAGGCGAGAUUCAACAGGUGGCUGGCUCCGGCAGGGUUGUUCGCCGCUCCUGCCGGUAGCGAGAACAAGCAGCGAUCUACGCACGUAGAGGUCUAGCAGGAUCCAUUCGCGGACGCGGGUUCGACUCCCGCCGCCUCCACUA
rnacentral:tmRNA from 1 species